CCUACGGGAGGCAGCAGUGGGGAAUAUUGCACAAUGGGCGCAAGCCUGAUGCAGCCAUGCCGCGUGUAUGAAGAAGGCCUUCGGGUUGUAAAGUACUUUCAGCAGUGAGGAAUGUGGUAGUGUUAACAGCACUAUCAUUUGACGUUAGCUGCAGAAGAAGCACCGGCUAACUCCGUGCCAGCAGCCGCGGUAAUA
rnacentral:rRNA from 1 species